GACCUCACUGGGCACCACUUCCCUCAUAUUAAUUCAAUCUUUAAUUGAUAUUGAGAAGUUCUUUUUUCCUUUGAGUCUAACAAAUAACAAGCUCUGUGCUGAAAGUAAUAACCUCACCAGAGAGAAACAUAACUAAGAGGAGUGUCUCCUCCAUCAGCUUUGCCAGGAAGUCCUGAUGUGGUGCUCUCCUGUGGGCCACUAUUUGGAACUCCCUGCAGCAGCGGCCCACCUGGCCUCUAAGCUGAGCUGUUAUGGUCCCCUCUCAGUUUUCAAACAGAAAAUAGAGAGCAGCUCAUU
ensembl:lncRNA